rnacentral:rRNA from 1 species
GUGAUUCGGGGUGCAGCAGGCGCGAAAACUCCACAAUGUACGGAAGUACGAUGGGGUUACCUCGAGUGCAGUCUGAAAAAGGUUGCUUUUCCAUAGAGUAAUAUCCUGUGGGAAUAAGAGGGGGGCAAGACUGGUGUCAGCCGCCGCGGUAACACCAGCCCCUCGAGUGGUGGGGACUAUUAUUUGGCCUAAAGCGUCCAUAGCCGGCUGUAACCGUCUCCCGUCAAAUCCAGCGUCUCAAGCGUUGGACUGCGGGUGAUACCUUGCAGCUUGAGGGUGGGAUAGGUGAGCGGUAUUUCCGGGGUAGGGGCGAAAUCCUUUGAUCCCGGGAGGACCACCAGUGGCGAAGGCUGCUUACUAGAACACGCCUGACGGUCAGGGACGAAAGCUGGGGUAGCGAACCGGAUUAGAUACCCGGGUAGUCCCAGCUGUAAACGAUGCGCGCUAGGUGUUGGGUCGGCCAUGAGCCGCCCCAGUGCCGCAGGGAAGCCGUUAAGCGCGCCGCCUGGGGAGUACGGUCGCAAGGCUGAAACUUAAAGGAAUUGGCGGGGGAGCACAAUCGAAU